rnacentral:rRNA from 1 species
AGUGAACGCUGGCGGUAGGCCUAACACAUGCAAGUCGAACGGCAGCACAGUAAGAGCUUGCUCUUACGGGUGGCGAGUGGCGGACGGGUGAGGAAUACAUCGGAAUCUACUUUUUCGUGGGGGAUAACGUAGGGAAACUUACGCUAAUACCGCAUACGACCUACGGGUGAAAGCAGGGGAUCUUCGGACCUUGCGCGAUUGAAUGAGCCGAUGCCGGAUUAGCUAGUUGGCGGGGUAAAGGCCCACCAAGGCGACGAUCCGUAGAUGGUCUGAGAGGAUGAUAGGCGACAUUGGAACGGAACCAGGGACCAGAGUCCUACGGGAGGCAGCAGUGGGGUAUAGUGGACAAUGGGGGCAAGCCUGAUCCAGCCAUACCGCGUGGGUGAAGAAGGCCUUCGGGUUGUAAAGCCCUUUUGUUGGGAAAGAAAAGCAGCAGGUUAAUACCCCGCUGUUCUGACGGUACCCAAUAAAUAAGCACCGGCUAACUUCGUG